GAUGAGGAACCUGAGGCCCAGAAGUGAAGUCACUUUUCCAAGUCACAUAGGCAAGCCGGCAAUGUCAGGAGUCCAAUCCAGGAAAGAUGGGAAAAAAAUAGAGGAAAAGCAAAACCCAGAAGCCACUUCUCAACCUGCAGGAACCCAAGCCAGAGGUCAGGCCUGAACCUGGAAAGAGGGGAAGCCAAGCCAUCUGGACUCCGCACACAGGGGCGUGAGGGAAAUCCUGUGGCUCCGCACCUGUGCCCCUUCAGAGAGUCCCCGCAGCGGUUGCCAGGUUACGGCAACAAGGACAGCAGGCCUGGUGGAUGUGGGGGCUCUCGGUGAAGCACCGGCUGCGGUCAAGACUGACUCCAGGGUAAUCCCAGCUGCCCCUGAAGGUGAUUAACUGGGCAGAGGUUGGGAGCAACGAAACUGGGAAGCUGUGGACUUGCCAUCAGCUGGGUGCACUAUACAGCAGGUGUAAUGGCUUUAAUUCCUAU